UGAGGAAUAUUGGUCAAUGGGCGAGAGCCUGAACCAGCCAAGUAGCGUGCAGGACGACGGCCCUAUGGGUUGUAAACUGCUUUUAUGCGGGGAUAAAGCGGGCGACGUGUCGCCCUUUGCAGGUACCGCAUGAAUAAGGACCGGCUAAUUCCGUGCCAGCAGCCGCGGUAAUACGGAAGGUCCGGGCGUUAUCCGGAUUUAUUGGGUUUAAAGGGAGCGCAGGCCGGGUAUUAAGCGUGUUGUGAAAUGUAGGCGCCCAACGUCUGCACCGCAGCGCGAACUGGUGCCCUUGAGUACGCACGACGUUGGCGGAAUUCGCCGUGUAGCGGUGAAAUGCUUAGAUAUGGCGAAGAACUCCGAUUGCGAAGGCAGCUGACGGGAGCGCUACUGACGCUCAUGC
rnacentral:rRNA from 1 species